GUCCCAGUAGCGCAAUGAUAGCGCGUUGGACCUCUAAUCCAAAGAUCGUGGGUUCGAAACCGACCUGGGAGG